UUACCUAGAAAAGGAAUUAGUUCAGAUGUUAGAAGUUCAGAAAGAGAGAGAUGAUGCUGUCAUUAUCAAAGAUGAAUUAUCAAAGAGGUAUGCAUCUCUUCAAUCAGAACUUGCUAAGGAAAGGGAUAUCAUUAAAACAUGGACUAGUUCAGGCAAAACUACUCAGGAUAUCUUAGGUAGUGGAAACUGGAAGAAGGGA
rnacentral:lncRNA from 1 species